UAAGGUAGCGAAAUUCCUUGUCGGGUAAGUUCCGACCCGCACGAAAGGCGUAACGAUUUGGACACUGUCUCGGAGAGGGACUCGGCGAAAUAGACAUGUCUGUGAAGAUGCGGACUACCUGCACUUGGACAAAAAGACCCUAUGAAGCUUUACUGUAUCCUGAUAUUGAUUUUGGGUUUUGUUUGUAUAGAAUAGGUGGGAGGCAACGAUAAUUUUUUUAUGAAAAGUUUGAGCCAACAGUGAAAUACCACUCUUGCAAAACACAAAGUCUAACUUUAUACUGUGAAUCAGGUUAAAGGACAGUGUUUGGUGGUCAGUUUGACUGGGGCGGUCGCCUCCUAAAGAGUAACGGAGGCUCGCAAAGGUACCCUCAGCAUGGUUGGUAAUCAUGCGAAGAGCGUAUGAGUAUAAGGGUGCUUGACUGGGAGAUCGACAGAUCGAUCAGGUGCGAAAGCAGGCUUAAGUGAUCCGGUGGUUCCGCAUGGAAGGGCCAUCGCUCAAAGGAUAAAAGGUACUCCGGGGAUAACAGGCUGAUCUCCCCCAAGAGCUCAUAUCGACGGGGAGGUUUGGCACCUCGAUGUCGGCUCGUCACAUCCUGGGGCUGGAGAAGGUCCCAAGGGUUGGGCUGUUCGCCCAUUAAAGUGGCACGCGAGCUGGGUUCAGAACGUCGCAAGACAGUUCGGUCUCUAUCUGUUGUGGGCGUAGGAAUAUUGAAGAGAUCUGUCUCCAGUACGAGAGGACCGGGAUGGACGCACCUCUAGUGUACCUGUUGUGGCGCCAGCUGCAUUGCAGGGUAGCUAUGUGCGGAAUGGAUAAGCGCUGAAAGCAUCUAAGCACGAAGCCAACUCUAAGAUGAGUAUUCCAUGAGGGUCGUAGAAGAUGACUACGUUGAUAGGCUAUAGGUGGAAGUGCAGUAAUGUAUGGAGCCGAGUAGUACUAAUUACCCGA
rnacentral:rRNA from 1 species